rnacentral:rRNA from 1 species
UACGUAGGGGGCAAGCGUUGUCCGGAAUCAUUGGGCGUAAAGCGCGCGUAGGCGGCCCGGUAAGUCCGUUGUGAAAGUCCAGGGCUCAACCCUGGAAUGCCGGUGGAAACUGCCGGGCUGGAGUCCGGAAGAGGCGAGUGGAAUUCCUGGUGUAGCGGUGAAAUGCGCAGAUAUCAGGAGGAACACCGACGGCGAAGGCAGUGUUCUGGGCCAGUACUGACGCUGAGGAGCGAAAGCGUGGGUAGCAAACAGG